rnacentral:rRNA from 1 species
UACGGAGGGGGCUAGCGUUGUUCGGAAUUACUGGGCGUAAAGCGCACGUAGGCGGCUUUGUAAGUUAGAGGUGAAAGCCCGGGGCUCAACCCCGGAACUGCCUUUAAGACUGCAUCGCUUGAAUUCAGGAGAGGUGAGUGGAAUUCCGAGUGUAGAGGUGAAAUUCGUAGAUAUUCGGAAGAACACCAGUGGCGAAGGCGGCUCACUGGCCUGGUAUUGACGCUGAGGUGCGAAAGCGUGGGGAGCAAACAGG